rnacentral:rRNA from 1 species
UACGUAGGGUGCAAGCGUUGUCCGGAAUUAUUGGGCGUAAAGAGCUCGUAGGCGGUCUGUCGCGUCGGAUGUGAAAACCCAGGGCUCAACCCUGGGCCUGCAUUCGAUACGGGCAGACUAGAGUUCGGUAGGGGAGACUGGAAUUCCUGGUGUAGCGGUGAAAUGCGCAGAUAUCAGGAAGAACACCCGUGGCGAAGGCGGCCCGCUGGGCAACUGCUGACACUGAUGCGCGACAGCGUGGGGAGCAAACAGG